CCUCCUUGUGCUCUCUUUUCUGUCAAAUACAUAAAUAAAAUCUUUUAAAAUACAAAAAGAAUAAAGGAGUAUUCUAUAUAAAACUCCAUAUCUCUGGCUUCGUUAGAAAAGCUUAGUGAUUUUCACCACUAGGGCCCACAUUCCUACAUGGGAACGUCAAGGUGUAUCCAAAGAUCUCUUGCCCCUUCCCGUAGAACCAAAGCCCCCUAAGUCAGAGCCCCCACUUGUUAUCUUUCACUGGUUUGUCUCACUUCUUCAAAAUGCCUGGCUCUGAUGAGUCUGAUCUUGCUUUGAGAUCUUUCCUAUAAUAGAACAAAGGUGUUCUCUUACCUCCCGGUCAUGUCUUGAGUCUGGGACAUUGGCCCUUUGUGCGAUGCUGGCUGUGUCACACUGCCCACGCCCACAAGUUCUGCUGCAUGGGCCUCAGGGAAGGCCCAGCUCAGAGCCUGGGCAUGAGGUAUGAGUGGUUUGCCUCUGCGCCUGUCCUUCGCUCUCCCUUCCCUUCCACAUCUGGAAGACCUCUCUCCCUCCCACAGCCUUUAAGGAAAAACACUCUUCAGCGCUCAGGUGUGUGCACACACGCGCCUACACACAAUUGUAGAAUUCACUGUCACUCAGAAGCUACGUUUCCCUAUUUCCCUGUUCUUGACAUAGAAGAGUUAGAACAACUUUUCCUUCUUCCACCUCAUGCAGAACCUCGCCGCCCCUCUUACCUGAUGUCACUUAUCUCUGACACAAUCUCUGUGAACCCUUGACUCUCUUCCCUUUUCUCCACCCGCCUCCUCCCCUUCACCUUCUUACAAUCGCAUGGUUUCUAUUUUUCUGUGUUGCCUGUGUUUGGAUUCUCACUCUUUUGAGUGCCAGGUACUAUCAGCUCAUUAAAAGCACAGUCUACCUCAGAUAUGGAUAUAUGUACCUACUGAUUUAAACUACCAUGACUCAAAAUUUAUCUUGAUUUAUCUUGUGUGGAGGACAUAUUUGUGUUUGUGUUAUAAGAAUUUCACAAGAUGCAUGUUUUAGGAAACACUCUGGCCUCGGGCCAAAUCUUGGCUUUAGCACGCUACUUAGGUACACAUAGCUCAGGACACCUGCUCAGACCUGCCUACCCAGCUACAGAACUUGUCCACCCGACGACAAGAUGUGGAAGCUCCAAGUAUGAGCCUGCAGACCCACAACAAAGCCGCACCCACUUUUUCAACAAACAAAAACGAUGCAUUUCUUCAUCCUUUGGAGAUAGUUUCUUACAAAGAGGAAAGCCCUUUCCUCUAGUGUGAGAGAUCUGUUUCUAUUUUUUCUUUCUACCUGCGCAAGUAAACAAGAUGGCUAUUCAUUCUCCUCCCCCCUUAUUUUAUUUGCUCUUCUUUGAAGUUCCCAAUGUUCCCAACGUGCCCCCCUCACCUUCUCCAGGAGGACAGACCCGCUGGGUUGGAUCCUGAUUGGAAGAAUCCAGCUUCACUUCCUGGGACAGGAAGGGAGGGGAGGUGCUCUUCCCGGAUCCCAGGGAGCGUCGAGGUGGAGCAGGGCAGAAACCAAAUGCUGCUUUGUUGAACAAUGAGCUCCUGACUCGCCGGAAGUGAGAAACAUCUUAGCAAUUAGGGAACUGUGUCCUUCCUCCCUCUGAGUUAAGCCUGCGUCGUCCUGAAACGCUGAUGUCUGGCCUGGGGAGCCCCGUGUCUCACAGGGUCGGGAGCUGGACACUAGCUGUGUGCCUUUCCCCUGCAGGCACCCACGAGCCAAGAGCCAAGCCUGAGGUGUGCGGCCACCCACACCCUCCUCGGGAAGCCCAGCCCCUCCCAGCUUAACGUUCUCUGGAGCACGAGUGUCCCCAGUCUCCCUGGUUGUCCUGUUGCCGCCCAAGGGGCCUGUCCAGCAUGUUCCGGGGAAUGGGAAGAGGUGAUGGGUGGAAAGAGUGACACCCCUCGCUGUAGGAUUGGGGGAGAGCUUGAGGGUGGGCGGGAGGACGACGGGCUGGGUGCAGGAGACUGAGGCUGGAGUGGGAAGAGCACAGUGGAGUAAGACUCCCUUUUUAGUUUAUUUUUUUAUUAUUUUUUAAGAUUUUAUGUACUUAUUCAUGAGAGACACAGAGAGAAGGAGAGACACAGGCAGAGGGAGAAGCAGGCCCCAAGCUGGAUGUGAGACUCGAUCCCGGGACCCCGGGGUCAUGACUUGAGCCACCCAGGUGCCCCAAGACCUGCUUUUUAAAGGAUCUAAGUGAAGGGACUUUCCUUCUGGAAUGUGGGGAAAAUAUUAAUUUGCCAGACUUUAAUUUUUUGCCUUUCUCUGGUAAGAAUUCUAGAAACAUGAGUAAAAUAUCCUAUUGGUACCUGAACGGUCCAUUGCAAGAGCCUAAGGGGGUCAGCAGGAGCGUCGGUGAAGGGGAGGGCCUGGAGGCCCACGACCCCGCCAGCCGUGUGCUUGUGCUCGUGUGCAUCCCCCGGGGCGUGGAGGGGACAGCAGCAGGGACCACGGCCAAGGGGCACUGCGCGCCGGAGGGCUCGGCUGUGCCCCUCACGCAGACACCCUGGGUCUCAGCCCUGAAUGCACAGCAGCGUCACCCAGGACCUUCACAGAAGCAGUGAAGGACCAGCCGGAUGCCUGCGGGUGGUGCCUGGGGCGUGAUGAGUAACUCGGAAACGAAACGCGGCCCGCAUGGCACCAGGAACCACUGCUCUAGAGGAAGACGGUUCCCAAGGGGAGGCCACUCCCCUGGCUUAGGGACACACCUCACCUGUGGCUGCUCACCACCUGCACGCCUCCACGUCCCUCCCUGUGGCGACACAGGGACAACGAUCAAGUGAAAUGUGCAGCUUUUCCAGUUCCUUCGGUCAUGUUCACCUGUGACGGGCACCGCACCCAGCAGGGAGCAUCACCCGACACCCAGCUCUGGAUACAGGAGCCUUGGCAGUACCCCAGGCUCCUUUCACAUAUUCACCCAAUGGGCAGGAGAAGAAACUAUGGCCAGCAGCCCCUUCCUGCCCCUUCGUUAGCUCUGUGGUCUGGGAACUGUCUCUUCACUAGGUAAGUUUUAGUUUCUUCCUCUCUAAAAUCUGAGUAAUGACACACACCUCAGUGCAGAUCGAGGGUGUAAUAUAAAAGGCCAUUCGUAACGGGUGGUCUUCUACUAUCACUGCUAUGACCACACUGAUCCUCACAUCAUUAUUUAUUAAGUUAGGGAGAACUAGAAGGGAUAUUGUGGGUGGAUACUGCUUCCUCUGUAUUUUCUAGGAUGAGGGAAUGGGGGUGAGGGGAAAGGCCCAUCAUCAAUCUUUCAUCAACUCGCUACGUGACCUCAGGCGAGCAUUUGAAACCUCAAAAUAAUAUACUGUAGUCUGCUGGCUCCCUGGCAGAUCCCAACAGAACUUCCUCCCUUAGAGCUGUGUGGCUCUGGGUAAGCAGCUUCACACCUCUGAGUCUUGGGCAUCUCCUCUGUUUUAUGAGCACACUCACAUCUGCUCCCUAGAGGAACCAAGAGAGGUGCAUGUGGAGCCCUUAGCAUGGGAUUGGCACCAAGGAAGCAUUUAGUAAGCACCAAGUAGCUGCUGCGAGGUGGUGCUGCCGAAGCCAGAGAGCAAGGUUCUUGUCUCAUGGAGUCAAAGAAUGAAUCUUGCAGACAAGGAAAGUGAGCAAAAUGAUAGAAGUUCAGCAAGCAAGGAUACAGAGAGAGCUCUCUGGAGUGAGAGGGGUCCCCACAGGGCUGCCACUGGGGGCUUGUAGGGCUGGUCUUUUACUGAAAGCCAAGCAGGGAGCUUAAUCCUUUUAACACCUCUAUUGAUAUCACCAUUGACGAAGGACUAGUGAUGACAUCUUCAAUGGCUUACUUCAUUUCAGGGUCUGGUUAUGUUCUGUGGACCACAGAAGACCGUUAUAAAUAAGACCCCCCCUCUCCACCACCUAGGGCAGGGUGGUCUGGAGUGCUCCCUUAUCUCUGGUUCCCUUACACCUUUGCAUUUGGGGGAUUUCUGUGGGCCUGAUCCCAUAGCCCUACUUUCUCCCUACCUAGCUUUGUCUGUCCCUUACUCAUUCCUCACCCUGGAAUAGUAACCCUAACUCCUUUUAGGGAAUGGGAUGAUGACCGCUCUGGCUGUUUCCUGCUGAAAUGGGGCUGUGGGCUGUGCAACAGUUAGAAUCUAUCCAGGGAUUAGUCCAGGGCUUGUGGUAUGGCUCCAGGGGCUCAUGAUGGACAGCAAAUGGUGCAUGCAUUAGCACACGCAAAAAAGAUAAACAUAUGUAAGUAUGAGGCCCAAAAUUAUGAUUACAUCCCUUAGAUAAGAUCCCCAAUGACCAAUUCUGUCAAAUAGAUUAGUGGAUAUCUUGAUCUUAUUUAAUUGGUCAUGAAUGUCCCCUAUUAAUUGAGACACAUUGUGGGAAUUAACUGUAAUGUCAAAACAACACAUGCGAGGAAACUCCUCACACCCCAAAUGUUGUAGCAAUAGUAGACAGUCAAUAGUGGCGCGGUUCUUGAGAAGUCCUUCUCUGACUUCACUUAAUUCUUGGCCGAGUGUAUCUAGUACCUGGGAAGUAUCAUUCAGAUUUCUGCUCAGCAAGCAUUCUGUUCUGUUUAUUUUAUGUUGCAGUCCUAUCAUAAGUUCUGGAAGUCCCGUAGCAAGCGUUGAGUCUCUGCUUACCAGGAGGGUUGUUAGAUGCUUGGCUAACGCCUUUAUAGAGGUAGCUUCUAGAAUAAAUAUGAUUAAGGGAUAAAGCCAUCAAGAAGCCCUCUUUGUUUGAUGUCUAGCCUUAACAAUAUCUUUUUUUUUUUAAGAUUUUAUUUAUUUAUUCAUGAGAGACAGAGAAAGAGAGAGAGAGAGAGGUAGAGACAUAGGCAGAAGGAAAACCAGGCUCCAAGCAGGGAGCCUGAUAUGGAACUCGAUCCUGGGUCUCCAGGAUCACUCUCUGGGCAGAAGACAGGCACUAAAGCACUGAGCCACAAGGCAUCCCUAGCCUUAACAAUAUCUUAAUUAUGAGGAAUCACUGUCAAGUAGAAGAAAACUUGUCUCAAGACAUAAGGGCAUCCAUCCCCAAGUUCAUCAUCCAAUCCAAUAAUAAAGAAAGCGGGGCCAUCCAUUAUCUGCCUAAGUCCAUAGUGAACUCCAUGCAGCGGGGUACACUCUGGCUUUAAAGGAAUGAUUUUGUCAUCCCAGCCACACAGAAUUGAUCAAGGCUAGUUGAGUCAUAGAAUUAUUGAGUAAUUAAUCCAAUUUUCUAGUUGUUUAAAUAAUCACAUGCCCAUGGGGUUCUGUUACAAUCUCCACAGAAUAAGAAGCAAGAAGACUGCCUGUAUAUGAGCUAUUGUGGCAAUUUCUCUGCAGUUUACCUCAAGCUGUCUAGCUUAGGCAAACAACAAACAUUUGAAGACAGUCAGAACUAGAAUUUAACAUCUGCCAAGAUAUUUUAUUGAAACAUAAUUUUUCUCUCUAAAAUCCUCUUCAUUGGGCAGCCCGUGUGGCUCAGCGGUUUAACGCCGUCUUCAGCCCAGGGUGCGAUCCUAG